rnacentral:tRNA from 1 species
GCGCCCUUAGCUCAGUGGUAGAGUGCUUGCAUGACACGCAAGAGGUCGCAGGUUCAAUCCCUGCAGGGCGCA